CUCUCGGCAACGGAUAUCUCGGCUCUCGCAUCGAUGAAGAACGUAGCGAAAUGCGAUACCUGGUGUGAAUUGCAGAAUCCCGCGAACCAUCGAGUCUUUGAACGCAAGUUGCGCCCGAGGCCAUUCGGCCGAGGGCACGCCUGCCUGGGCGUCACGCAAAACA
rnacentral:rRNA from 1 species